rnacentral:rRNA from 1 species
GACGAACGCUGGCGGCGUGCUUAACACAUGCAAGUCGAGCGAUGAGAUCACUUCGGUGAAGGAUUAGCGGCGAACGGGUGAGGAACACGUGAAGAAUCUGCCUUCAACUCUGGGAUAACUCCGGGAAACCGGGGCUAAUACCGGAUAUGAGCCUUGAUCGCAUGAUCGGGGCUGGAAAGUUUUUCGGUUGAAGAUGACUUCGCGGCCUAUCAGCUUGUUGGUGAGGUAAUGGCUCACCAAGGCGACGACGGGUAGCCGGCCUGAGAGGGCGACCGGCCACACUGGGACUGAGACACGGCCCAGACUCCUACGGGAGGCAGCAGUGGGGAAUAUUGGGCAAUGGAGGAAACUCUGACCCAGUGACGCCGCGUGCGGGAUGAAGGCCUUCGGGUUGUAAACCGCUUUCAGCAGGGAAUAAGCGCAAGUGAAGGUACCUGCAGAAGAAGCACCGGCUAACUAUGUGCCAGCAGCCGCGGUAAUACAUAGGGUGCAAGCGUUGUCCGGAAUUAUUGGGCGUAAAGAGCUCGUAGGUGGUUUGUUACGUCGAUCGUGAAAUUCAGGGGCUCAACCCCUGACUUGCGGUCGAUACGGGCAAGCUAGAGUUUGGUAGGGGAGACUGGAAUUCCUGGUGUAGCGGUGGAAUGCGCAGAUAUCAGGAGGAACACCGAUGGCGAAGGCAGGUCUCUGGGCCAAUACUGACACUGAGGAGCGAAAGCGUGGGGAGCGAACAGGAUUAGAUACCCUGGUAGUCCACGCCGUAAACGGUGGGCGCUAGUUGUGCGAACCUUCCACGGUUUGUGCGACGCAGCUAACGCAUUAAGCGCCCCGCCUGGGGAGUACGAUCGCAAGAUUA